GUCCUCGUAGUUCAAUGGAUAGAACAGCUCCCUUCUAAGGAGCGGAUCAAGGUCCGAUUCCUUGCGAGGACACCA
rnacentral:tRNA from 1 species